rnacentral:rRNA from 1 species
UACAGAGGUCUCAAGCGUUGUUCGGAUUCAUUGGGCGUAAAGGGUGUGUAGGUGGCGCGCUAAGUCGGGGUGUGAAAUUUCGGAGCUUAACUCCGAAACUGCAUUCGAUACUGGCGUGCUUGAGGACUGGAGAGGAGACUGGAAUUCAUGGUGUAGCAGUGAAAUGCGUAGAGAUCAUGAGGAAGACCAGUGGCGAAGGCGGGUCUCUGGACAGUUCCUGACACUGAGACACGGAAGGCCAGGGGAGCAAACGG